rnacentral:rRNA from 1 species
UACGUAGGGGGCAAGCGUUGUCCGGAUUUAUUGGGCGUAAAGAGCGUGUAGGCGGCCAGGUAGGUGGGUUGUGAAAACUGGAGGCUCAACCUUCAGAGGUCGACCCAAACCCCCUGGCUAGAGUCCGGAAGAGGAGAGUGGAAUUCCUGGUGUAGCGGUGAAAUGCGCAGAUAUCAGGAAGAACACCCGUGGCGAAGGCGGCUCUCUGGGACGGUACUGACGCUGAGAAGCGAAAGCAUGGGGAGCAAACAGG